rnacentral:lncRNA from 1 species
AAACAUGCAUGCUGAAAUUGACAUGGUUGAUUUUGUAACACAAUCAUACACAUUCAAGUUUUGAAAUCGACAAUUGUCAUCGUCAUUGGAAUGCAACUGGAAUACACAUUCUGAGGUCACACAGGUUCAAACAAUACUCAGUCCGGCAGUGGGCGGAGCUUUAAAGCGAUAUCUGUAUAGUAUACAGAUACAGCAUAGCGAUAUCUGUAGGGCUGUAUCUGUAUAGUAGGACACCCAAUUGCAGGAUAAAAAAGGUAAACUGGUUGUAAGGACUUAGUCCUUAAUUGAGAUCCUUGAUAGAUAUUUCUAGCCAUAUGUUUUCUUUUUUCUCAUAUUAAGAAUUGUUCUAAUUUAAUAUGUUCGUACUGGAAACAUACAAAACAAUAAGAUAAUUCUAAAUAAAUGUUCCAAAAAAAAUGGAAUGUAUUACAAAGGAUAAUCAUACGAUAUACUGGAAUUGUCCUGGAUCUCAGUUCUGUGAUGGGUAUAUGUUAAUGGAAUCUUUCUCCGAAUACGGGACCAACAUAUUAGUAGUGGUAGACCCCAAUAUCCAAUGAUCUUCAAUUUCUACCGAAAAUUUGGCUGUCAAAAAAAUGCUAACAUUCCAAUUUUCAAUAACAGUUAACAGCAAAUACAUUAUCACAAUAACAGUUAACAAAAAAACUUAAAGUCCAAUAACAGCUAACAAAGAAUAGGGCAAUAACAGCUAACAACAAAUAUAUUUUCAGAAUAACAGAUAACAAAGAAUUAAAAUGCCCCAUAACAGCAUAACAGCUAAACCCCUUGCCCCCCCCCUCAUUUAAUACACAGUUUAUGUGUUUACCUAUAACUAGGUCAUUGGGUUUGUGUACUAGGGUCUACUCGAUUGGUGUGAUAAUUUAAUUGUUUUGGUUUCUGGAGUACCACCAAUGUUUUCAAUUAUUUUUUUUGUUUUUUGUUUUUGUUUUUUUAAACGACACUACUCUUAUGCGAUAAGAUCAAUUUAUAAUUAUUUAUAUUUUUUUUUUUCGAAAAAGGUACGCCUAAUACCAAUUUACUCAUACAUUUCCGCAAUGUCUUUAUGUAAAUACAGUUUUUGC